GACAAUUUGCAAGAUAGUGCUAUUACAGUGACAUCAUUAGCACAAAUGCCUGUCGGACCCACAUCUGUUUCUGCUGACCACAACUACUGUCUACCAAGCCCUAAGAAGUUGAAAACACAAUAUAACAGAGUACAAGCAGAGAAUGUGCGACUAAAGAAGCGGAUAAAGCAAAUGAAGCAACUUAGUGUACGACACAAAAGAAGAAUAGUGCAGUUACAGACUUUAGUUGCUGGUUUGAGAAGAAGGCUAUGUAGUUCAGUUUCUGAUAUGUUAAACAGUGAACAUGUAGUUGGUUUGUUGAAGGAGCUAUUGGAACUUCAGUGCAGUGCUAAAGUAUGCCAUUAUUCUCAGCAAAUAAGGAAAUUUGCCCUGACCCUACACUUUUAUUCUGCCAAGGCAUACAGCUACUUACGAAAAUUUGUGAAAUUACCCCACCCAAGAACGCUUCGACUUUGUUAUUGAAUUACUAUGCUUGUGUUAACUACUUGUAACACAUAUUUCAAAUAAAUUCUCGUUCACAGUG